rnacentral:rRNA from 1 species
AAUGAACAUUGGCGGCGUGGAUUAGGCAUGCAAGUCGUGCGGAAAGGCUCCUUCGGGAGUACUCGAGCGGCGAAAGGGAGAGUAACGCGUGGAUAUCUACCCCCUGGACUGGGAUAGCGGCGGGAAACUGCCGGUAAUACCAGAUAAUGUCUGCGGACCAAAGGUGUGAUUCCGCCGGGGGAUGAGUCCGCGUCCUAUUAGCUAGUUGGUGGGGUAAUGGGCCACCAAGGCAAAGAUGGGUACCGGGUGUGAGAGCAUGGCCCGGCUCACUGGGACUGAGACACUGCCCAGACACCUACGGGUGGCUGCAGUCGAGAAUCUUCGGAAAUGGGCGCAAGCCUGACCGAGCGACGCCGCGUGCGGGAUGAAGGCCUUCGGGUUGUAAACCGCUGUCAGAGGGGAGGAAAUGCAUGAGGGUUCUCUCUCAUGUUUGACCUAUCCUCAGAGGAAGUACGGGCUAAGUUCGUGCCAGCCGCCGCAGUAAAAC